rnacentral:misc_RNA from 1 species
AUGAAUUUAAAAGUAAGAUCUUCCUACAGAUUUUCCUCUUCAUUGCAAUAGAUCCAUGGAUUUUUCCUCAUCUCAGUAUCCAAUCUCAUCCAUUAUCAAGGGGUCAUCAUCACUUAUCCACGUCAACCAUGAAUACUGUAUUUUGUGCCAAAUUAAGACCUCUAACUCAUGACGUCAAACUUACAAUAAGGAAAUCCUACUGUGUUUCAAUGACAAAACUUACACGUAUUUACCAAUUUGAUUUUCUAGCCACAUAUUUAUAAUGGGUUUUGUUUUCUAGGAAGAAAAAGAAAAAAAAAAUCCAUUGAAGGGUUGAAACCAAACUAAGUUUCAGUGCGAUGAGAAUUUAUUACCUAAUCGUG